rnacentral:rRNA from 1 species
UGCGAGGGCAUAUAGUCCUCGCUUUUCUCAACCGUAGGGAGGUUGAGGAACAAGUGCUGGGCAAGACCGGUGCCAGCCGCCGCGGUAAUACCGGCAGCACAAGUGAUGACCGCUGUUAUUGGGCCUAAAGCGUCCGUAGCUGGCCAGACAAGUUCAUCGGGAAAUCUGCGCGCCUAACGCGCAGGCGUCCGGUGGAAACUGCCUGGCUUGGGACCGGAAGACCAGAGGGGUACGUCUGGGGUAGGAGUGAAAUCCCGUAAUCCUGGACGGACCACCGGUGGCGAAAGCGCCUCUGGAAGACGGAUCCGACGGUGAGGGACGAAAGCUCGGGUCACGAACCGGAUUAGAUACCCGGGUAGUCCGAGCUGUAAACGAUGUCUGCUAGGUGUGACACAGGCUACGAGCCUGUGUUGUGCCGUAGGGAAGCCGUGAAGCAGACCGCCUGGGAAGUACGUCCGCAAGGAUGAAACUUAAAGGAAUUGGCGGGGGGAGCACAAAA